GACGAACGCUGGCGGCGUGCUUAACACAUGCAAGUCGAACGGAAAGGCCCUGCUUUUGUGGGGUGCUCGAGUGGCGAACGGGUGAGUAACACGUGAGUAACCUGCCCUUGACUUUGGGAUAACUUCAGGAAACUGGGGCUAAUACCGGAUAGGAGCUCCUGCUGCAUGGUGGGGGUUGGAAAGUUUCGGCGGUUGGGGAUGGACUCGCGGCUUAUCAGCUUGUUGGUGGGGUAGUGGCUUACCAAGGCUUUGACGGGUAGCCGGCCUGAGAGGGUGACCGGCCACAUUGGGACUGAGAUACGGCCCAGACUCCUACGGGAGGCAGCAGGGGGGAAUAUUGCACAAUGGGCGGAAGCCUGAUGCAGCAACGCCGCGUGCGGGAUGACGGCCUUCGGGUUGUAAACCGCUUUCGCCUGUGACGAAGCGUGAGUGACGGUAAUGGGUAAAGAAGCACCGGCUAACUACGUGCCAGCAGCCGCGGUGAUACGUAGGGUGCGAGCGUUGUCCGGAUUUAUUGGGCGUAAAGGGCUCGUAGGUGGUUGAUCGCGUCGGAAGUGUAAUCUUGGGGCUUAACCCUGAGCGUGCUUUCGAUACGGGUUGACUUGAGGAAGGUAGGGGAGAAUGGAAUUCCUGGUGGAGCGGUGGAAUGCGCAGAUAUCAGGAGGAACACCAGUGGCGAAGGCGGUUCUCUGGGCCUUUCCUGACGCUGAGGAGCGAAAGCGUGGGGAGCGAACAGGCUUAGAUACCCUGGUAGUCCACGCUGUAAACGGUGGGUACUAGGUGUGGGGUCCAUUCCACGGGUUCCGUGCCGUAGCUAACGCUUUAAGUACCCCGCCUGGGGAGUACGGCCGCAAGGCUAAAACUCAAAGGAAUUGACGGGGCCCCGCACAAGCGGCGGAGCAUGCGGAUUAAUUCGAUGCAACGCGUAGAACCUUACCUGGGUUUGACAUGGAUCGGGAGUGCUCAGAGAUGGGUGUGCCUCUUUUGGGGUCGGUUCACAGGUGGUGCAUGGCUGUCGUCAGCUCGUGUCGUGAGAUGUUGGGUUAAGUCCCGCAACGAGCGCAACCCUUGUUCACUGUUGCCAGCACGUUAUGGUGGGGACUCAGUGGAGACCGCCGGGGUCAACUCGGAGGAAGGUGGGGAUGACGUCAAGUCAUCAUGCCCCUUAUGUCCAGGGCUUCACGCAUGCUACAAUGGCUGGUACAGAGAGUGGCGAGCCUGUGAGGGUGAGCGAAUCUCGGAAAGCCGGUCUCAGUUCGGAUUGGGGUCUGCAACUCGACCUCAUGAAGUCGGAGUCGCUAGUAAUCGCAGAUCAGCAACGCUGCGGUGAAUACGUUCCCGGGGCU
rnacentral:rRNA from 1 species